GAUGAACGCUAGCUACAGGCUUAACACAUGCAAGUCGAGGGGAAACGAUAUUGGAAGCCUGCUUCCGAUAGGCGUCGACCGGCGCACGGGUGAGUAACGCGUAUCCAACCUGCCCUUGUCCACCGGAUAACCCGUCGAAAGGCGGACUAACACGGUAUGCAGUCCACAGCAGGCAUCUAACGUGGACGAAAUGUAAAGGAGAAGGAUGGGGAUGCGUCUGAUUAGCUUGUUGGCGGGGUAACGGCCCACCAAGGCGACGAUCAGUAGGGGUUCUGAGAGGAAGGUCCCCCACAUUGGAACUGAGACACGGUCCAAACUCCUACGGGAGGCAGCAGUGAGGAAUAUUGGUCAAUGGACGGAAGUCUGAACCAGCCAAGUAGCGUGCAGGAUGACGGCCCUAUGGGUUGUAAACUGCUUUUAUAUGGGGAUAAAGUGAGCCACGUGUGGCUUAUUGCAGGUACCAUAUGAAUAAGGACCGGCUAAUUCCGUGCCAGCCGCCGCAGUAA
rnacentral:rRNA from 1 species